AUUGAACGCUGGCGGCAGGCUUAACACAUGCAAGUCGAGCGAGCGGCGGACGGGUGAGUUGUGUCUGGGAAACUGCCUGAUGGAGGGGGAUAUAUACUGGACACGGUAGCUAAUACCGCAAACCAUCAGAUGUGCCUAGAUGGGAUUAGCUAGUGGGUGGGGUAAUGGCUCACAUAGGCGACGAUCCCUAGCUGGUCUGAGAGGAUGACCAUCCACACUGGAACUGAGACACGGUCCAGACUCCUACGGGAGGCAGCAGUGGGGAAUAUUGCACAAUGGGCGCAAGCCUGAUGCAGCCAUGCCGCGUGUGUGAAGAAGGCCUUCGGGUUGUAAAGCACUUUCAGCGAGGAGGCGUUACUCGCAGAAGAAGCACCGGCUAACUCCGUGCCAGCAGCCGCGGUAAUUC
rnacentral:rRNA from 1 species